rnacentral:rRNA from 1 species
GGGUGCGUAACGCGUGGGAAUCUGCCCUUUGGUUCGGAAUAACAGCUGGAAACGGCUGCUAAUACCGGAUGAUGACGAGAGUCCAAAGAUUUAUCGCCAGAGGAUGAGCCCGCGUUGGAUUAGGUAGUUGGUGGGGUAAAGGCCUACCAAGCCGACGAUCCAUAGCUGGUCUGAGAGGAUGAUCAGCCACACUGGGACUGAGACACGGCCCAGACUCCUACGGGAGGCAGCAGUGGGGAAUAUUGGACAAUGGGCGAAAGCCUGAUCCAGCAAUGCCGCGUGAGUGAUGAAGGCCCUAGGGUUGUAAAGCUCUUUUACCCGGGAAGAUAAUGACUGUACCGGGAGAAUAAGCCCCGGCUAACUCCGUGCCAGCAGCCGCGGUAAUACGGAGGGGGCUAGCGUUGUUCGGAAUUACUGGGCGUAAAGCGCACGUAGGCGGCUUUGUAAGUCAGAGGUGAAAGCCUGGAGCUCAACUCCAGAACUGCCUUUGAGACUGCAUCGCUUGAAUCCAGGAGAGGUCAGUGGAAUUCCGAGUGUAGAGGUGAAAUUCGUAGAUAUUCGGAAGAACACCAGUGGCGAA